AACGAACGCUGGCGGCAUGCCUAACACAUGCAAGUCGAACGAGACCUUCGGGUCUAGUGGCGCACGGGUGCGUAACGCGUGGGAACCUGCCCUUAGGUUCGGAAUAACUCCCCGAAAGGGGUGCUAAUACCGGAUAAUGUCUUCGGACCAAAGAUUUAUCGCCUUUGGAUGGGCCCGCGUUGGAUUAGCUAGUUGGUAGGGUAAAAGCCUACCAAGGCGACGAUCCAUAGCUGGUCUGAGAGGAUGAUCAGCCACCCUGGGACUGAGACACGGCCCAGACUCCUACGGGAGGCAGCAGUGGGGAAUAUUGGACAAUGGGCGAAAGCCUGAUCCAGCAAUGCCGCGUGAGUGAUGAAGGCCUUAGGGUUGUAAAGCCCUUUUACCCGGGAUGAUAAUGACAGUACCGGGAGAAUAAGCUCCGGCUAACUCCGUG
rnacentral:rRNA from 1 species